rnacentral:rRNA from 1 species
ACUGCUCAGUAACACGUCGGUAACCUACCCUCGGGAGGGGGAUAACCCCGGGAAACUGGGGCUAAUCCCCCAUAGGCCUGAGGUACUGGAAGGUCCUCAGGCCGAAAGGGGCUUUUGCCCGCCCGAGGNUGGGCCGGCGGCCGAUUAGGUAGUUGGUGGGGUAACGGCCCACCAAGCCGAAGAUCGGUACGGGCUGUGAGAGCAGGAGCCCGGAGAUGGACACUGAGACACGGGUCCAGGCCCUACGGGGCGCAGCAGGCGCGAAACCUCCGCAAUGCGGGAAACCGCGACGGGGGGACCCCGAGUGCCGUGGCAUCGCCACGGCUUUUCCGGAGUGUAAAAAGCUCCGGAAAUAAGGGCUGGGCAAGGCCGGUGGCAGCCGCCGCGGUAA